rnacentral:rRNA from 1 species
UCAAGCGUUGUUCGGAUUCAUUGGGCGUAAAGGGUGCGUAGGUGGCGCCGUAAGUCGGGUGUGAAAUUUCGGAGCUUAACUCCGAAACUGCAUUCGAUACUGCGGUGCUUGAGGACUGGAGAGGAGACUGGAAUUCAUGGUGUAGCAGUGAAAUGCGUAGAGAUCAUGAGGAAGACCAGUGGCGAAGGCGGGUCUCUGGACAGUUCCUGACACUGAGGCACGAAGGCCAGGGGAGCAAACGGG